AGUGAACGCUGGCGGUAGGCCUAACACAUGCAAGUCGAACGGCAGCACAGUAAGGGCUUGCUCUUACGGGUGGCGAGUGGCGGACGGGUGAGGAAUACAUCGGAAUCUACUUUUUCGUGGGGGAUAACGUAGGGAAACUUACGCUAAUACCGCAUACGACCUACGGGUGAAAGCAGGGGAUCUUCGGACCUUGCGCGAUUGAAUGAGCCGAUGUCGGAUUAGCUAGUUGGCGGGGUAAAGGCCCACCAAGGCGACGAUCCGUAGCUGGUCUGAGAGGAUGAUCAGCCACACUGGAACUGGGCCACGGUCCAGACUCCUACGGGAGGCAGCAGUGGGGAAUAUUGGACAAUGGGCGCAAGCCUGAUCCAGCCAUACCGCGUGGGUGAAGAAGGCCUUCGGGUUGUAAAGCCCUUUUGUUGGGAAAGAAAAGCAGCAGGUUAAUACCCCGCUGUUCUGACGGUACCCAAAGAAUAAGCACCGGCUAACUUCGUG
rnacentral:rRNA from 1 species